GCCUGGCUGGCUCAGUCGGUAGAGCACGUGACUCUUGAUCCCAGGGUUAUGAGUUCCAACCCCAUGUUGGAUA
rnacentral:tRNA from 1 species